rnacentral:lncRNA from 1 species
GUCCGAGUUUAGUGGAAAAACUCUCUAUAAAAAAGACCGUUUUACUUGAAAAAAUGGUGAUUUUAUUCUUCUGGGAGCUAUGUAAUACGUUUACACAAAGUUUCCUUCCCAGAAUAUGCCUGUUCGCAGCUAAAGUGUUCGCGCGUGACCGCCAAACGGUAAUUUUCUGUUUUAUUAAAAACAUGAACGGUAUUAAAAAACAUGAACGGAUUUUGAAAGAAUUAAAGUGAGUUUUGACUGUGGUAAUAUACUGGAUUUCCUGCAUUUAGCAGAAUUUUGUGUUGCAUUUUACGAAAAAAAAAAAAAAAAUCCGUCCGCCCGACCUAGAAAAAUUAAAAUGGGUGGACGCUAAACAAGUAAUUUUUUUUAUGUGGCCUAA